AUCGGUUACCCACCCAUUGUAGAAAUCAGGUUCAUGACAAACCAUUAAAAUAGAACCCUUAUAUGCUUUUAAAGCACGUUUGAGCUCAUUUUUAGCAUCAAUAUCAAGAUGAUUUGUUGGUUCGUCUAAAAUAAGCACGUUAUUUUCACGAUUCAUCAACAAACAAAAACGAACUUUUGCUUGUUCACCACCCGAAAGUACUUGAAUUUGACUUUCGAUAUGUUUUGAUGUUAGUCCGCAACGAGCUAGUGCCGCUCGAACUUCUGCCUGAUUUAAGGCAGGAAAAGCAUCCCAAACUACUUCUAGCGGAGUUUGUCGGUUAACACCUGUCACUUCUUGUUCAAAGUAGCCAACUUCUAAAAAAUCCCCUGUGACAAUAUGACCUUCUAAAGGCUCAAUAACACCUAAUAAACUUUUUAGCAAAGUAGAUUUUCCAAUACCGUUGGCCCCAACAAUAGCAAUUUUUUGAUUUCUUUCAAACGUUAUAUUUAAGGGUUCUUUGGUCAAUGGGUAAUCAUAACCAAUCACAAGAUUUUUUGUUUGAAAAAUGAAUCGACUGGGAGUUCUAGCUUGCUUAAAUUCAAAAUUUGGUUUUGGUUUCUCAGCUUGAAGUUCAAUUAUAUCCAUCUUAUCAAGUUUUUUUUGGCGAGACAUUGCCAUGUUACGUGUCGCUACCCGAGCCUUAUUUCGGUUGACAAAAUCCUGCAAGUUAGCAAUCUCUUUUUGUUGACGUUCAUAGGCUGCUUCAAGUUGAGAUUGUUUCAUCUCAUAAACAGCUUGAAAUUGGUAAUAAUCCCCAGUAUAGCGAACUAAACUUUGAUUUUCAACAUGAUAAACAAUAUUAAUCACAUCAUUUAAGAAAGAAAUAUCAUGCGAAAUCAACACAAAAGCAUUUUCAUAAUGUUGUAAAUAGCGUUUUAACCAUUCAAUAUGCUCAGCAUCCAAAUGGUUAGUUGGUUCAUCUAAUAGCAGAAUAUCAGGUUUUUCUAAUAGUAAUUUGGCUAAUAAAACCUUUGUUCGUUGCCCACCUGAUAAGGAUGUAACAUCUGACUCCAUUCCAAAAUCCAUAACACCAAGCGCACGCGCUACUUCAUCAAUCUUAGCAUCCAAAGUAUAGAAAUCACGACUUUCUAAACGAUCUUGAAGCUCACCUACUUCUUCCAUCAAAACAGCAAUAUCAGCUUUAUCAUCUGCCAUUGACGCGUAAAUCUCAUUAAUACGAUUCUCGGUCUUAAAUAACUCAUCAAAAGCAGUUCGCAAGACAUCACGAACGGUUUGUCCUGAUUCCAACACUGUAUGUUGAUCCAGGUAACCUGCAGUGACAUACUUCGACCACUCUACUUUUCCUUCGUCAGGCUGUAAAUGUCCUGUGACUAUACUCAUAAAGGUUGAUUUUCCUUCACCAUUUGCCCCAACUAGUCCAAUAUGUUCGCCUUUUAAGAGGCGAAAUGACACAUUUUCAAAAAUAGCCCGAUCCCCAAAACCGUGACUCA
rnacentral:antisense_RNA from 1 species